UCCUACGGGGCGCAGCAGUGGGGAAUAUUGCACAAUGGGGGAAACCCUGAUGCAGCAACGCCGCGUGAGUGAAGAAGUAUUUCGGUAUGUAAAGCUCUAUCAGCAGGGAAGAAGAAAGACGGUACCUGACUAAGAAGCCCCGGCUAACUACGUGCCAGCAGCCGCGGUAAUACGUAGGGGGCAAGCGUUAUCCGGAUUUACUGGGUGUAAAGGGAGCGUAGGCGGUGCAGCAAGUCAGAAGUGAAAGCCCGGGGUUCAACUCCGGGACUGCUUUUGAAACUGUUGAACUAGAUUGCAGGAGAGGU
rnacentral:rRNA from 1 species